AAGACUAUAGACCUGCGGAGUACCUGCGGAAGGAUCAUUACAGGACUCGCAAGACUCCUACAACCCUGUGAACUUAACUAUAAGCACGUUGCUUCGGCGGGUGUCUCGGCGAGGGUUCUCCCUCCCCGGGGCGCUAAGCCCGCCGGCAGCCUACUAUACUCUGUCUCUUUGCGUUGGCAUCUCGAGUACAAACAAACAAGUUAAAACUUUCAGCAACGGAUCUCUAGAUCGGAAGAGCAC
rnacentral:misc_RNA from 1 species